GUGCCAGCAGCCGCGGUAAUACCGGCAGCUCAAGUGAUGUCCCAUAUUAUUGGGCCUAAAGCGUCCGUAGCUGGCCGACCAAGUCUCCCGGGAAAUCCACCCGCCCAACGGGUGGGCGUCCGGUAGAAACUGGCCGGCUUGGAACCGGAAGGCUCAGAGAGUACGUCCGGGGUAGGAGUGAAAUCCCAUAAUCCCGCACGGUCCACCGAUGGCGAAAGCACUUCGAGAAAACGGAUCCGACAGUGAGGGACGAAAGCCAGGGUCUCCAACCGGAUUAGAAACCCUUGUAGUCC
rnacentral:rRNA from 1 species